rnacentral:siRNA from 1 species
AGUUCUUUCUUGUUACUCGACCUC